GAUGAACGCUGGCGGCGCGCCUAACACAUGCAAGUCGAACGGCACCCCUCCUCGGAGGGAAGCGAGUGGCGAACGGCUGAGUAACACGUGGAGAACCUGCCCCCUCCCCCGGGAUAGCCGCCCGAAAGGACGGGUAAUACCGGAUACCCCGGGGUGCCGCAUGGCACCCCGGCUAAAGCCCCGACGGGAGGGGAUGGCUCCGCGGCCCAUCAGGUAGACGGCGGGGUGACGGCCCACCGUGCCGACAACGGGUAGCCGGGUUGAGAGACCGACCGGCCAGAGUGGGACUGAGACACGGCCCAGACUCCUACGGGAGGCAGCAGUGGGGAAUCUUGCGCAAUGGGGGGAACCCUGACGCAGCGACGCCGCGUGCGGGACGGAGGCCUUCGGGUCGUAAACCGCUUUCAGCAGGGAAGAGUCAAGACUGUACCUGCAGAAGAAGCCCCGGCUAACUACGUG
rnacentral:rRNA from 1 species